CUGAGCAAACCCCUCCGGCGGCAGUGCGGUGAGCACCGAGCCUGUCGUGCAGGGUCUGCCUCGCGGCCCGUUCCAGGCCCUAAAGGACUCCAAAGACUGCUGCUGAGACCUCUUGCUAGCCACCGGGGCCCGCGCCCGCUUGCCGACGGCUCCCCAAGGCAGGGCCAGAGGAUACCGCAGCGACACGCGCAGAGGCCGCCCGCGCCCGCGCCAGGCCUCUCCCGCCCCGCGCGCCCACAGCCAAGCCCGGCCUACCGUUGCUGUAGGCGUACGGGGAUUCGGCGGCGCCGUCCUGAAGGCUCUCCAGGAUCUCGCCUUUGCCCACGUCGCUGUCGCCCACCAGCAGGAACUUGAGCAGUGCACCCGGCCCGCAGCCGCCAGCUUCACCUCGGCCUCCUAGCUGCCGCCGCCGCCGCCGCCGCCCGCCGCUUCCCGCACGGCACCGCGCAGCCCCGCAGCCCCGCCCCCGGAUGCGCCGCCGCCAUUGGCCACCCUCCGCCGGCCCUCUCCGGGCCAUUGGUCUGGCAGCCUGGCCGUCACGGUCGCCCCGCCCCCACGUCGCCCCACACAGGGUGCCGCCCAGCCCACGGUCGCCCCGCCCUGCCCACUUGCCACUGCCACUGGCCCGCUGCCACCCUCUUUCUCACGUCUGUUGGUCUGUAUGCUUGUCUGUCACUGAAGUCCCGUCCCCGCCGUCUCCUACACCGUGUUGCUGAGGCUGGCGGAUUUCCCCGCCUCCUCGCUGUGACCAUUGGCCACUUCCUGCUGAUUUUCCGAAAUCAUUGGUCGCGCUUGCAAGUCCAUCCGAACCCCUACCGCUUCCUGCAGGCUGCCUCAGAGCCGUAGUUAGUAGUCGGGCACCGACCUGCAACAUCUUGGCCUCCCGCCCCUUGUCAUCGCCAUUGGUUACUACUGCUAAGGCAUUUGUGCCAUUUCACAUCGAUCCUAACCUUCUAGGCCCACCCAUUUCCUAAUUCGCGCCAAUCAAGAGUCAAACAUUACACAAGCCUACCCCUCCCCCUCGUGGACAAACGGAAGGAUAGAGAUAACUCCUUCUUGAGGCGACAUGGCUGAGUCCGCGGGGGCCAAGAUAUCUAUCAAGCUGCGCUGGCUGCUCUCACAGAGACCCAGAAGGGAAGUAACAUACACUAUGGGGCUCGCCUUCCCCGGGGGCAGGGCGGGGACAGCCAAUUAGUGCUCGUCCCAGAGUGGGCAAGGCUCUCUCCCUUGUGUGCUGUUCCAAGGGGUGGGACUCCUGGCUGCGGAGUGGGCGGAGCCACUACUGAGUUUAGGCACAAGGAUGACCGCUGAAGUCUACCUCUGAGUUGACUCUUGUGGUGGACAUCCUUCCCAAGGGGGAUCCUGGGGACUUGGACCAGCGACCGAACAGCGUUGGCCCGAUGGACUCCAGGAUGGGCAACGCAUUGUAUGUGCACACUCGGUCGGCCAGCUCCAAGGCUGGAGGGCCACCUACAGCGUUCUUCAUAAGAGUGCAUUCACAUGUCAAGUGAAUAGCAAAGAAUUAAAAACGUAAACAUAGAUUGGGA